UCAAGCAAAAAAGAGCGCAGGGUGGAUGCCUUGGCACUAAGAGCCGAAGAAAGACGUGAUAAGCUGCGAAAAGCUGCGGGGAGAUGCAAAUAAUCUUUGAUCCGCAGAUGUCUGAAUGGGGAAACCCGGCUGGAAGGACUCCAGUCAUCCAUACGCCAAUCCAUAACGUAUGGAAGGGAACCCGGUGAACUGAAACAUCUAAGUAGCCGGAGGAAGAGAAAGAAACAUCGAUUUCCAGAGUAGCGGCGAGCGAAAUGGAAAGAGGCCAAACCGUUGUGCGUGCACAGCGGGGUUCGGACCGCAUAAUUGAUUCAGUGAUUCUAGCAGAAAGGUUUUGGGAAAGCCUGCCGGAGAGGGUGAAAGCCCCGUAAGCGAAAGGAAAACUGACAAGGCGGUAUCCAGAGUACAUCGAGACACGUGAAACCUUGAUGGAACACGCGGGGACCACCCCGUAAGCCUAAAUACUACUUAGUGACCGAUAGCGCAUAGUACUGUGAAGGAAAGGUGAAAAGGACCCCGGGAGGGGAGUGAAAGAGAACCUGAAACCCUGUGUUUACAAUCUGUGGAAGGUCUUUAUAUGAUCAACCGCGUACUUUUUGUAGAACGGUCCGGCGAGUUACGCGUACUGGCAAGGUUAAGUGCUUAAGGCACGGAGCCGAAGCGACAGCGAGUCUUAACUGGGCGAUGAGUCAGUACGAGUAGACCCGAAACCGGGUGAUCUAUCCAUGUCCAGGAUGAAGAUGCCGUAAAAGGCAUUGGAGGUCCGAAGCCACAUCCGUUGAAAAGGGUGGGCAUGAGGUGUGGAUAGGGGAGAAAUUCCAAUCGAACCCGGAGAUAGCUGGUUCUCCUCGAAAUAGCUUUAGGGCUAGCCUCGUUUUAGUCUUAUGGAGGUAGAGCACUGAAUUUCCGCGGGGGCGUCAAAGCUUACCAAAGAAUAUCAAACUCCGAAUGCCAUGUAGAUGAUGAACGGGAGUCAGACUGCACGAGAUAAGUUGGGCGGUCAAAAGGGAAAGAGCCCAGACCACCGGCUAAGGUCCCAAAGUGUGUGUUAAGUGGAAAAGGAUGUGGGAAUUCGAAGACAACUAGGAUGUUGGCUCAGAAGCAGCCAUACAUUCAAAGAGUGCGUAACAGCUCACUAGUCGAGAGUUCCUGCGCCGAAAAUGUCCGGGGCUGAAACACAACACCGAAGCCGUGGACUCCGUAAGGAGUGGUAGAGGAGCAUUCUUAAAACCGACGAAGCUGUACCGGUAAGGAGCAGUGGAGGGAUAAGAAGAGAGAAUGCCGGAAUGAGUAGCGAGAGGAAGGUGGGAAUCCUUCCGGCCGAAUAUCUAAGGUUUCCAGAGUAAAGCUGAUCUGCUCUGGGUAAGUCGGGGCCUAAGGAGAGGUCGCAAGACGUAUCCGAUGGACAACAGGUUUAGAUUCCUGUACCGCAUAUAAACAGAACUGUGGGGACGCAUGUGGAAAGCAUAAGCCGGGAAUGGAAAGACCGGUACAAGCGGGGUAGGUGUGUGACAGGCAAAUCCGUCACAUAAGCCGAAGACGUGAUGUGGAGCGAAAUUAAGUAGUGAAGUAUGUGAGCCAUGUGCCGAGAAAAGCCGCUAUUGUUUUAUAUGUGCCCGUACCGUAAACCGACACAGGUGGAUGAGGAGAGAAUCCUAAGGCCGACGGAAGAAGCAUUGUUAAGGAAUUCGGCAAAAUGACCCCGUAACUUCGGGAGAAGGGGUGCCUGCGAGAGCAGGCCGCAGAGAAUAGGCUCAAGCAACUGUUUAGCAAAAACACAGGUCUAUGCGAAACCGAAAGGUGAAGUAUAUGGGCUGACGCCUGCCCGGUGCUGGAAGGUUAAGAGGAGAGGUUAGCGUAAGCGAAGCUUUGAAUUUAAGCCCCAGUAAACGGCGGCCGUAACUAUAACGGUCCUAAGGUAGCGAAAUUCCUUGUCGGGUAAGUUCCGACCCGCACGAAAGGCGUAAUGAUUUGAGCACUGUCUCGACAAUGCAUCCG
rnacentral:rRNA from 1 species